rnacentral:rRNA from 1 species
UGAUGUAGGCCAAAGAAGCCGGUGGGUGGAUAGCUAGGCUUCCGGAGCUGAGGAAGGGCGCGGCUAACUGCGAAAUGCCUCGGGGAGGCGUAUGCAGCCUGCGAUCCGAGGAUACCCGAAUGGGACUUCCUGCUACCCGUAAUGGGGUAGCACUCCUAACGGAGGAGGAACGCGCCGAACUGAAACAUCUUAGUAGGCGCAGGAAAAGAGACCAAUAGGCAUUCCCCGAGUACCGGAGAGGGAAAGGGGAGGAGGGCAAAGCGAACUUGCUAUCGCAAGAUAGCAAGGAUGUGUUGGCUAGGUCUAUCCCCAAAGCUGAGCCGAAGUCCCCUGGAAUGGGGCGCCAAAGAGGGUGAAAGCCCCGUAGGCGAAGGCUGCGGGGAUAAUGCUAGCCAAAGAGUACCAGGCCUUGGAACUGGUCUGGGAAGAUGCCUCGCAAUGAGAGGCAACCCUAAAUACUCCGGAAGACCGAUAGCGAACUAAGUAGCGUGAGCGAAAGCUGAAAAGCACCCCGAGAGGGGGGUGAAAAGAGCUUGAAACCCACCGGUUACGGUAGGCCAUGGCAUGAAAGGGCCAUCGCCGAAGGAAAGCUCCGCGAGGAGCGAGUACGAGGCGAUGGAGCCGGUGUCAUGGCGUCCUUUGUGGAUAAAGGGCCGGGGAGUUUGCACGUGUGGCAAGGCUAAGCCCAAGCAAGGGCGGAGCCGUAGCGAAAGCGAAGACCCGCAGUCCUCUCUUCAUGAGGACGAGGGGUCGCCUCUUAACUGGGGUAAGUCACACGUGCAAGACCCGAAACCGGGCGAUCUAGCCCUGGGCAGGGCGAAGCCACCUUUAAAGGUGGUGGAGGCCCGAAGGGGUGUUGGGGUAAAAUCCACUCCUCUGACCUGGGGCUAGGGGUAAAAAGCCAAUCGUGCCCGGCGAUAGCUGGUUCCCUCCGAAUCUGGCUACAGUCAGGCCUCGCCGGAGCUGGUUGAGGGGGUAGAGUUACUGAUCUAGUUAGGAGGCACCGAAAGGUGUCCCAACUAGGUCAAACUCCGAAUCCCUCAACAGCUGAGAAGGCGGGAGUCGGGGGCUCGGGUUAAGCUCGAGCUCCGAGACCGGAACAACGGAGACCUGGGUUAAGGCCCCUAAAUGCUGGCUAAGUGAGAAACCUGGUCGCAGAGCUUAGACAGCCGGGAGGUAGGCUUAGAAGCAGCCAUCCUCUAAGCAACGCGUAACAGCGGACCGGCCGAGCUCUGCGGCGGGGAAAAUGGACGGGACUAAGCCAGCUGCCGAGACCCAGGCGCUCAACCUUUUGGUUGAGCGGGUAGGAGGGCGCUCCACUUGGGCAGAAGCCUCUCCGUGAGGAGGGGUGGACCGAGUGGAGUUGAGAAUCCCGGCGGUAGUAGCAGCAUAGCCAGGUGAGAAUCCUGGUGGCCGGAAGGUUCAGGGUUCCUCAGCACUGCCGAUCAGCUGAGGGUUAGCCGGUCCUAACCAAGCCCCUAACUGGGAGCUUGGGAAGGGAAACCCGUUAAUAUUCGGGUGCCACCCAGUAGCAGCUGCAAAGCGGCCAAGCUCCUUGCUUCUGGCUAGGCUGAGUGCAACUCUCGUUGCACCUAACUCCAGAAGCCUAGGGAGUCUCGUAAUGAGGAGAACUAGGCGAAUGGAGGAAUGGCCCUCUUUGAGGGUUCAGCCGAUGCCAGGAGCCCAUGAAAAGGAGCUUGGAAAUGCGACCUGGGUGACCGUACCUAGAACCGGCACAGGUAACCUGGCUGAGAAGGCUAAGGCCUGAGGGGGGUAAUGGGGCUAAAGGAAAUCGGCAAAUUGGUCCCGUAACUUCGGGAGAAGGGAUGCCAGCAGUAGUAUCUUAACGAUGCUACUGCUGGUCGCAGUGACAAGGAGGGGGGGACUGUUUAACAAAAACAUAGCGGACUGCUACUCCGAAAGGAUUAGUACAGUCCGCGACGCCUGCCCAGCGCAGGUACCUGAAGCCUGGGUUCAACCAGGUCAAGGGCCUGCUAGCGGCGGGGGUAACUCUGACCCUCUUAAGCAAGCGCAAUGCCUUGCCGUUUAAUUGACGGCUUUGCGAACGGCGUAACCACUCCCUCACUGUCUCUAGCCCCAACCCCGUGAACACACCCUCCUGGUGCAAAGGCCAGGGACCCCCUGUGGGUCACUGAGUCCCCAGGAACUUUACUGCAGCCUGCUGUUGCAUUCUGGGCUUCGGGAUAGAGAGUAGGCAGGAGGGAUGAAAUACCCUCGCUAGGGGGUACGGAUCCGAAAGUGGAACACUGCCUCUCGAAGCUUAGAAUGCUAACCUGAGCUCUGCGCUCAGGGACAGCAGUUGGUGGGCAGUUUGGCUGGGGCGGUACGCCGGCGAAAAGGCAUCGCCGGUUUCCAAAGGUCGGCUCACCCGCUAUAGAAGUGCGGGGUGGAGUAUAAGGGCAAAAGCCGGCCUGACUAUGCCUCCAACAGCGGGAGGCGUAGACACGAAAGUGGGGCCUAGUGAACCUGGGUGCGCCUCUCAUUGAGGCCCCCAUUUAUAGGAAAAGCUACCCUGGGCGUAAUUGAGUCGUCGCGGGUGAGAGCUUGGAUCGACCCCGCGGCUUGCUACAUCGAUGUCGGCUCCUCCUAUCCUGGCCGUACAUUAGCGGCCAAGGGUACGGGUGCUCACCGGUUAAAAGGGGUCGUGAGCUGGGUUCAGUUCGUCGUGAGACAGGACGGUUGCGAACUACAGGGGGUGCGCUCUGCCUGAGUGGAAGACACACCUAGUACGAAAGGAACGGUGUGUCGGCGCCUCUGGUCUACGGGCUAUCCGAGAGGGUAAGCCCGGCAGCCACGCGCCAAGGGAUAAGAGCUGAAUGCAUCUAAGCUCGAAGCCCGCCGCGAAAAUAGGCAGAGUUUGAGGGCGGCCCUAGAAGAGGGCGUUAAUGGGGCAGGGGUGUAAGCACCAAGGCCAAAAGCCGAGGUGUUCAGCCCGCUGCUCCCAAUAGCCCGAAGGCCUACAUCA